CAGGUAAUAAUAACUCCUCCAUCACAUGCAUCUUCUUUGCAGGCUGCAGCUAGCCAGUGAGCCAGCCAGCAAUCGAGCUAGGAACUGGUCGAUGAUGUACCAUGUGUGUGCGCGCAUGCAGGUGUGGCCGGCCUACGGCAACAAGAAGUUCGAGACGCUGUCGUACCUGCCGCCGCUGUCGACGGACGACCUGCUGAAGCAGGUGGACUACCUGCUGCGCAACGGCUGGAUACCCUGCCUCGAGUUCAGCAAGCUCGGGUUCGUGUACCGCGAGAACUCCACCUCCCCGUGCUACUACGACGGCCGCUACUGGACCAUGUGGAAGCUGCCCAUGUUCGGCUGCACCGACGCCACGCAGGUGUACAAGGAGCUGCAGGAGGCCAUCGCCGCGUACCCGGACGCCUUCCACCGCGUCAUCGGCUUCGACAACGUCAGGCAGACGCAGUGCGUCAGCUUCAUCGCCUACAAGCCCCCCGGCAGCGAGUAGAGACCGUGGCUAGAUCGACCCAUGGCCAUGCCUCUGCCUGUUGAUCGGAUCACCUUCUUGCAUUGGUUCCUCUCUCUCUCUCCCUCCUUUUUUUUCCCUUUAUCUCAUCAUUUCUUUUCUCCUGCAUGCAAUGGUUCCUUUUGCUUC
rnacentral:lncRNA from 1 species